rnacentral:tRNA from 1 species
GACAGCGUGUCCGAGUGGUUAAGGAGGUGGACUUGAAAUCUAUUAGGCUCAGCCUGCGCAGGUUCGAAUCCUGCCGCUGUCG